rnacentral:lncRNA from 1 species
CAGCCUUGACUCUGGAUUAAUUUCCACACAUUCAUCGUGGGUAAAAGCCGAAGUCGAACCAGAAGUGUAUACUGCAGUCAUGCUCCCUGAUGGCGUGUUCCCCGAAUGGCUUCCACCCAUGCUUCGACCCUUCGUGUGACGGUCAAGGUCUCUCAGAGCCUUGAACCUCGGGUCUUCGGUGUAGUUGCCUGGUGUUGGGAUUGAAUCUGGAAUAGUUGCCCUUCCUUCGAGCAUGUUCACCACCUCAGACAUUGUUGGUCUUAGCGAUGGCGAUGCAUUGGUGCAAAGUAGAACUACUUUGAUAACCAUUUCUGCCUCUUCUCGAUCAAUCUCAGGCUUCAACUUCUCAUCCACUAGUUCCAUCAAGUUGCCAGAUUGUUGUACUUGACAGGCCUGUAAUCAUAGCAUUAAUAUCGUCAGCAUCGAAUAAAUGGAUCACCAUACUAUGUUUCGGGACAUUUUCUAAUAUAACAAGCACCUUUAUUAAAUUCAAUGAUGUAAAUGCCUAAAAAUUUCUAGUACUAAAACCGAGAUAAUUUAAAAGUGAAGAUUUUCUUGAAGUGAGUAAAUGUUCUUCCCAUGAAUCUCAUCAUACCAUGCCAUCUCAUUAGAUUGUUCAUCAUAUAGAGCACCGGUCACAGUUAAAAAUGAGAAGAACUUACCCAAUCCAAGAGGCAAAUGCACUCAUCACUUGGCACAAAACUAUUGUUGCUUUGACCACUAACAAUUUCCAAUACAAGAACUCCAAAGCUGUACACAUCUGCUUUAUAGGUGAGGUAUCCCCAUAGGGCAUAUUCAGGUGCCAUGUAUCCCCUGCAAAUAAGGAUAUAAGUUCUAGGUUAAAAUUUCCAUCAGACAUCAACAUCAUACAUAUGAGAACAAGUCAAAAUAUGGUUUUUGUGAUAAUCUCACAGAGACAUGGCGACUCACAUUGUUCCGGCAACCUUGGUGUUAAUAUGAGUCUUUUCCUCUUCAUCGAGCCUAGCCAAUCCAAAGUCAGAUAUUUUGGGGUUUAAAUCUUGAUCCAGCAGCACAUUAGUAGCUUUAAUAUCUCGAUGAAUAAUUCUAAGUCUGGAUUCUUCGUGAAGAAAUGCCAGACCUUUAGCCACUCCAAUGCAGAUUUGAAGCCUUGUAGGCCAGUCAAGUUGAAGCUGAUGGUUCUGUGGACCUACAAAAUACCCAUUCACUGUCUAUACACCGAAAUUUGAUGACAUGGCAUGAGAAUUUAGCAAGAACUACAAUUGAAAAAUUCCUAGACUCACCAAACAUAGCACGGAAAAGACUAUUAUUCUCCAUAUACUCAUAGACCAGCAACAGUUGAUCCCCUUCAAUGCAACAGCCAUGAAGCUUGACAAGGUUAGGGUGUUGUAAACAAGAAAUCAUGCCUAUCUCAUUCAAAAAUUCACGAUUCCCUUGCUUCGAUCUGGAUGAGAGCUGUUUAACUGCUACCAAAGUACCAUCAGGUAAUUGACCCUGCACACCACAAUAACUCACAGUUUCUUCCAAAGCAAACUAAGUGGGAACUUUGUUAUUGUCGACAUAUGAAUAGCACUUUUAUACCUUGUAUACAGGACCAAAGCCACCCUCUCCAAUCUUAGAAGCAGGAUCAAAAUCAUUAGUUGCUGCUUUAAUUUGAUGCAAAGAAUAAGUCCGUAUUUGCAGAUCCAAUCCUUUGUUAUCAUCUGGACAAGGAUUUUAAAAAAUCAGUGGGAAAUAGUUCUCCAAUGCCCAAAGGAAACUCUUGCAGCAAUGCAGACUAAGAUGUAUAACCAUAGUUUUCCAACUGAAGAACCUUUUUCUUAUUAAAAAAAAAAUAUAUAUAUAUAUAUGUGUGUGUGUGUGUGUGUGUGUGUGUGUGUGUGUGUGUGUGUGUGUUGCUUAACACAUCGAGAAAACCUUGCUUCUUGAGGAGGAGCAAAAUAAAGAAUGAAGGAAUCGAAGUGAACAAAAAUGUAGAAAGGAACAUUCAUGAAUAAAUGCGCCUCUGUGUUUCUGUUUCUCUUUUGAUGUGUGAAUGAUAGACAUAUAUAUAUGGCCCUGAAAAAAGGAUUUCAUCUGAACUUGUAUACAUAUGAUCCACAUUGAAAGGGAGGGAUUCAUGGUACAACCUGCAGAUUUUCUUCUCCCCCUUUUCCCAGUCAAGUACCCUUUCCACCAAAGGAUGCACAGCAUGAAGAAAACAAAGCACGAGACUCCAACUCCUAUGAAGAUAGAAUUAGUUCUCCUUUUUCCAUGACUAGAGCAACCUUCAAAACCUGCCCAAUGAAACAAUUCAAAAGAUAAUACUACUUCUGAACAAAGCACUAAGGAAAACAUCAAAGGAAAAGUACAAGCUCUAGUUUAUACUGUGAAUGAAGGAAAGAAAUCCUCCUAUUUUGCUUUUGAAAACCAACAUCAUGUAAUGCAUGAUCUUAUUUAAUGAAGAAUAUAGGUUUAAACAAAUCCUCCUUAGGUACUUUCUGCACUCAAUUGAAAGAACAAGAAAGCAUUUUGUUUAUAUCCAUGUCUUUAUAUGGUUUCGUACCACAUAUAAAUUAUCAUAUGCACAAAACUGCAAGACUAGUAAAAUUCACUCUGUUUCAAGCAUGGUCCUAAAAUGUACCAGGUCAUGUCCUCAUCCAUGUGGCAGUGAAUGCAAAUUUAAGCACUUCAUCUGUUUUCAGCUUUCAACAAGGAGAGAAGAAAAGAACGAGAUCUACUCUUGACAAAGAGGAGAGCAGCAGGUGCACUUUUUCAGCAUGUUAUACUGUAGCAAUUUGACUAAACUAAGGUGAAUAUUGAAAUUUUUUCUAUGUUUAUCAUUAUAGAGACAGCAUGAUAAGAAGCCAGCAAAAUGAAGUGUACUUCAUCCUUUAAGCAUUCAGCAAAAGCAGAAGCAUAAUAUUUUUGAAGAAACCAAAUGCCCAUAAAAUUUGACCAGAGUAUGCCUCCCACACGUAUUCAAUCCACCUUUAAAUGAAGCAAGCUGGAGGCUCAAACAACUAGAAAGGUCUAGUUACACAUACUAAAACUGGACCUGCGAAGAAAAAGCUACAGCGACAUAUUCUUAAAAUAAAAAAAAAUAAUAAAUAAAUAAGGUAGUAGUACUACCAUUAGUCUGAGCAUAUAAUGGACACUGAUUUAUCCCUAAGUUGGGGUGGGUAAUGUCUCACCCAAUAAGUUCUCUUACUCAUUGGGACCAAAUUAUAAUGAAGCAGUUGGACUUUUAAUAUUAAACAAUCAAAGCAAAGGAAAGGCAAAAUUACACUGGUUUUGUAAAUUGCAAAGAUUUUGUGCAAAACAUUUACUGACUUCUAGUGCAAUUAUACGUAAAGAAAAGAUAUAAACAAUUCACUCACCAGAGACAACAGAAAUUGCUGAUACUAGAGGACCAUAAACACUUCUACGGGGAAUUCUUGUUGUUCCUUUACCAGCCCAAGAAAAUCGGACCUCCAGCAUAUUAUUGGUCACAUUGACAUUAAAUAUUUCCACUACAGGUUUUUCAACCCCACCCGCCUCAUCUUUGAUAUUGAAAUCCUUCCGGACUAAUUUGUCCUGUGAUAUUGUAGCAUGUUGAGAGGAAUGCCCAACUCCAAAUAUGUAUAAAGCACAAGAUGCAACAGUAACAUGUGGAACUACCUGAAUAUAUAUAUGGAACAUUCGCUUCCCGAGACUAUUAAAUGCAUUGUCAGUUGUGAACUGAAUCUCUGCAAACCGUAAAUGUACAGUGUAUUGUCCAUUUUUUAAGCAAUAAAAGAAGUAGGUAAGCGAAAUCGGAGAGAUUCUUGCCGUUGUAUAGCUAACAUCCAUGUUUGCAUCUGAUAAAGUUACAGUGUAUAGUUUAUUUUGGUAAUCAUUGUCGUCCAUGAAGUCACCUGUGCUACUAAACCCCCAAUUCUGAUUUCUAUUAAAGGAGUAUAAUGCAGUACCACCCUCAACCUGUCCAUCUCCUUCAUACAGAACAGUCUGUUUAUUUUCUUUAAUGUUUGCAUCUUGUCCGCCACAAUUAACAUGUCGGCAACUCGAAUCUGUCAGGACAAGUUUAAACUUCAGCAAAUAAAUGGAUGAACCUUAAAUGAGAAAGCAGGGAAAAAGUGUUAGCAUAUUUGCAUAUUAAGUCAUACCUUCAUCUAAUAGGUUAAGCUUUCAAAAUAGUUAGCAGUGCUUUUACAAAACUUUUACAUGAUAUCAGAGCAAAAGGUCCUUGAUACAAAUCUUAUCAGGCCUUUAUUCACCUCCCCUAUUAUACAUUUCCAUGCUCAAGUUGUUGACCAAAGUCCAGCUUACAAGAGAGGGGGAGUGUUUGAGCAUUGUUGAAUCAGGCCUUCAUUUAAUAAUUUAAACUUUAGAAUAGUUGAUAGUGGUCUCACAAAAUUUUACAAAAAGAAUGCUCUGCAUCUUAGGAACAAAAUAAUGAGGGGACGCCAUCCAUGAACCGAAAAAUAAAACCUUCUCAUUUUCCAUAGAGAAACAUUGAUGAGACCAUUUAAUUGAGAAGGCAGUUACUGACUCAUAUACAUAUCAAUUGGAAGUUUUAAUACAAAAAGGCAUUGUAUCUAAUACAUGUUUUGUAGCUCACAGAAAAAUACUUACAGCGUGAACAGCGGAAGUUGUCCAAGCAUGGCAUGACUCUACUUCUGCGGCAGAGUAGAAACAUAAACCGAUAGUUAAAGAUAAGUGUUCCUGCCUUUUGAAAAUGAAUCGAGGACACAAUAGUUUGAACAGAGCUAGCAAAAAUAAUAAAUGAUAGACCUCUAAAGCAAGUAAAAGAAUUGUAAAGGGAAAACAAAACCGAGAAAUCUUACAAGUUGUUCUCUUGUGAAGAGCUUCUGUAUAGGUUCAAGUUUAGGUUCCUGACAGAUGAAGAAAAACUGACUUAUCAGAUUUCUUAAGUACAUAACACUAUGACCUAUUGGGCAAAAUUCACGAGAAUCCUCACAAGUUGUCCUGACAAGCUCGUUGGUCGGAGCUUUGCCAUGAAAAGUUGUUGUAAGAAAGAUCGCUGCAUCCACAUUACAAAAAACAUUCAAGUGAUUUUACCUUAAGGUGAAGAUUUGACAGCAAUUGUAUCCCAAAUAAGCAAAAGAGGGCACACCAAAAUUUCAGAAAGUAAGUUUGUAAAAUCAACAUCGAUGAGAAGAAAACAUACACACUGGUUCCAUCCUUCAAGAUUGAGUCUGGUACUUGUCCACUCAGAAUAUUGCCCGUUAGAAAGCUGGCGAAAACAAAAUCUGGUGUUUUAGCAUUCAUGAAGAAAAAUUGAGCACCAAAAUGCAUGAGAAAAACAAAACUUAUUUACGCAUCUGAAUAUAUAGUGUGACAUAGUUACAGAUUGAAUGCCCCCAUUUGAGGUUGAAACAUCUGCUACUACAAGCAUGUUGGGUUUUGUAGAACGUGGCUUCAUAUCUUCCCUCUACCUCUAAGAGCGCAUAAAAUAAAAACACCAAUAUAUGUGAUGAUCACAUGGCUCGAUUUUUCAGCCUUUAAUUCAAUCCUAUCAAGAAAGAUUUCCAUAAAAAAAUCUCCAUUUUCACGGUCAUGUCACCACCCAUUUCAUUAUAUCUCAUACAAUUGAUAGGGUACAGACUUACAUAAAUCUCACACUUUUUGCAGUUAUUGUUGCUGGAAUUUCACCAACUAAUCUGUUGAAGCUGAGAUCCCUGUUAAAUGGAGGAUAUGAGUGCUUGUAUGUGCAAUGUUACUCCAAAAACUGAAGACAGAAAUCUCAAAUAACAAAGCCAGUUCUAAGUCUUGUGCACAGAACAUAAACUUGACCGGAUGCAGAAAUUAAUGCCAAACAUCCUACCAAGAAAACCCCUGCCCAUAUUAGUAACUUUCUUGUAUAGUUAAAUUUGGUCACCAACUGAAAAACGAACUUUGGAUUAGUAUGAAUCACAUAUUCCCAAUUUAUACACAAAUUCCAUACAACAUCAGUUUGGUCCUCCAGUCAUAAAAACAAACAAAAAAAAGAUGCAUGGCUUAUUGCCAUAAUGGCUUGGCGAUGUUAGUCAAGUACCAUUUGUGGCCGUUAAUCAGGAGUGGAACCAAAUCUUUUGAGGCUAUGAAUUAUACAUAUCUAUAAUAUUGCAACUCACACUGAUUGCCAAUUGUAAAGUACAAGUAAGAAGGGGCAGCAGUCAAUGUCUUGGUUGUGGGAAAAAAAUGUCCACUUUCAAGGCUCUAAUUAUAGGCGCUUAGGACAGUCCACCAUUGUGGAUCGGAAGAAAAAAAAUGUGGACAACCAUAGCAGGAGGCAAUUCUGUAUUAGUGCUGAACAAUUUGACUGUUCUUUUUAUCAAAAAGAAAGAUCAGUACAAGUUAAAGUCCCAACCGAUUUUUGAACCUAACUUCUGGCAUAUGUGAGGCAACACCAUCAAUAGAAUAUAUCGUGUGAUCAUGCAAUGUUAUCAUUGUGCACUUUCAGCUCUCUUGCACAGCAUGACUUUGACACUCCUACUUGCGCAUCUACUGUUUCUCAUACGGCGGCUAACAUAGAAACUUCAAAGUUCAUUCGAGCACCCAGACGAGAUUCACCAGUACCUUUGUGCAACAAUGAAAAAUUGUACUGACUUCUCUGAAGGAUCUUUCAGAUCAUGGAAGAUGGUUAGAAAGUCUUUUCAAAAUUGAGAAUGAGUGAUGUGGACAUUAGCAUGAUUUGUACUGUACAUGAUGCAAAAAGCAAGCUAAGAAAUUUUACAGACGAUAACUCACACCAGUUAUACUUACAUAACUUCUAGUUCUUCGAAGUUCCAAAUGUAAGAGGGAAUCUCCCCAGAUAUGUUACAGUUCCUUAGCACCCUGACAAUGUAACAGAUUGGUUACUCAAACAUCCGUGACAUCUAACAAAAUGAUCUCCUAGUAGAGAAAUGAGUGAAACAAGAAUCAAACCUACAAUGUUACGAGGCCGGUCAUAUUACUGAGAUUAGGAAAUAGCUGUCUGGGACUGAUUAUGUCACUCAUUCUCCUGAGAAAGAUAUAAGAACUUGCUCUAAAUUUCUCAACUUGAUAACUGCAUGUCAGAUUUUCAAAUAUGAGUUUCACAGGAUCAUGAACAGGAUACUGUAUGCUUACAAGUGGGCCAUGUUAUUCAAAAGUGAGACACCAGUUGGAAUAGGCCCCUUCAGCCCACUUGCGAUCAUCUCUCUGCAUAUCACAAUAUGAAAAAUGAUAGUUACUUGCUUGGAAUGAGUAGUAUUUGCUUUUAUUCAUCAUCUCUAGCUUAAAAGAAUUCAAACGAUCUUACAAUCUAUUGAGUUGUAUGCAGUUCUUGAUGAACUCUGGUAUUCUGCCACUGAAGUUAUUGUCAUUUAUCCUCCUGCAUUAUGCAAUCGAAAUGUGUCAUCAGACAUUUGACUUAAGAUAUAUAAUCUGUAUGGGAGGAACAAGACAACAUCGUACAAAUCUGUAAGAUUUAUCAAACCAGCAAAAGAGGUUGGCAAGUUUCCAGUUAACCGAUUGGAGGAUAGGAUCCUGCCAGCAUAAUAAGCCAAGAAUAGACCCUCAUCAACAUCUAAUAUAUACAAAACUUGCAAUCAGAAGAAGUGGACAAUAAAUAAAUAAUGCAGCAUCUUACAGAGAUUGUAGGUUGAUCAAACUUUCGAGCUCAGGAGGAACGUUGCCAGAGAAUUGGUUGGCCUCAAGGCAUCUGAUUUAGAAUCCCUAGUAAAAUCACUAGUAGUAUGACCCAACAUAACUUAAGACAAGGAAAUUGCAUAGUAAGUGUCCUAGCUUUACCGCAAAUAGUAAUCAUGGCAACCAAGAGAUUCUAUAGACAUUAUCACAGCUGUAAGCAAACUUGCAAGCAACAGAGACAAAGAUAUCGAAAACGCACAGGUACGUGAGAGAGGUGAUAUUGCCCAAAGUCUUUGGAAUUUCCCCAGAUAAGCGAUUCACGGGGACAGACCUGCAUCAAUCACUCCAUUAUUUAGACCAAGCCUAAUGAGAUGCCAGUACAAGAUAGAAUUAUUAGAAGGAUCUUACAUUGAAGUCAACUGCAUAGAAGCCCACUCCUGAGGUAUUGUCCCAUAGAGGUAGUUAUAAGCGAAGUCACUACAAGAAUAAGAUAGUAUUUAUCCACAAAGUAGGAUUUCAAAUAAGUAUUCCAUGUCCUUAUAUUAGCUUAUAUCUUCAAGAAAUAUGAUAGUGUUUAAUUAAGGUCUCACAUUUCUCUAAGGUGAGGAAGCUUAGCAAGUUCAGGGGGAAGGAUCCCAGGGAGACUAAAGCCCUUGAGAGCUCUACAAAGCAUCAAAACAAAAAUUAGACAAACUCAAGUAACAUCACACGAUGAAUGAUAACAAUUUCUACGCAGACAAACAACAGAAAGAGGUCCUUAAGGGCUAUGUGACAAGCAGUCAAUGAAAAACUGUUUUAAAUUUGCAAAGCACAUCUAUACUCACCAAUGCUGCAUAAAAGCUGUUCUUUGAAAGGUUACAAGGAAUUAUAAUGACCGGAUUUAAUGUUUUUUAACCAACUAGGAUGAAAAUUAAAAGGAAGUACAAAAGAGUAUAAUUAAAAAAAUACUCAACAUAUUCUAGGAUAAUUCACUAUGUGUCUACAUAAUCUUCUAAAAUGUCAUGUUUGGAAUUGGAUGUUAUUAUGGUAUAAGAAUUUUGAACUAAAUAGUGGCUGGCAGUCCAAUAAGCAUGGGAAUAUUAGGUAGAUGAUUACAAUCUAAACAUCCUACAUAUUAUAUAUUUUUAAAAGAGAGCCAGCAUCUUCUUGGUUCCUUCUGAUGAAUAUUAUGAAAAAUUGCAGAAAUUGACUCAAUCAAAUUAUACAGAUUUUUACCUAGUCUACACGUAUCAAAAAAUUCCAGCUGCAGAAACGAAGUCCUUUUUUUCUCAUACCUGUAUAUAGUGAGGCUCUCAUUUGAGUCAGUCUCAGCUUUCAAGGUCUCGCAAUAACUUGUUUCCCAAGAAAAAUUGUGGACUCAAACCUUUUCAUGUUUUGUCAUGUAAUGCAUGUUAUUCAGCUGCCUAUGUAACACCUCUCAUUUUGUGUUUGCAACCAAGAAUCUGAACAUUGUCAAAGCAGCCCCAGAUAUUCACACUAUUUACUGUUGUGAGUUACAUCAACCCUGCUUAAGAGACCGUAUAUUAUAGAUAGACAAAAAAGAAUUAUUUUCUCCAGUCAAGGUGCAAAACUAUGCAUUAAAUCUGAGUAACGAGCUGAGGAGUAUAUACAUGCUUACGACAUGACAGAAGGUAUCAUUUAGGAAGUUGCAUUCACAAGCAACGGUACUCUCGGCUCCUUUUGGUAUUUCUGUUGUUACACCAACUUUUACGACUUCACAAGAAUCACCAUCAAACUCCCAAUACUUGGCCCCCAGUUUAGCAGCAAUUUGUUGAAGGGCGUCCACUGAAACCCAUUCAGAACCACGUAAAGAAGAAAAUAAGCAAAAAGAUUAGUGUCAUUGCAGUAACCUGAGUAGCCAAUCAAAUAUUUAAGGAUAUUUGCCUGAUAUCAUUAGCAAAGAUCAGGCCAACUGACUAAGUUUAGAAAUUCUGCUAUGCAGACCCAAGAGAAGAAACCACUCCAACCAAGAUCAAUCCAAGAAACAGCAGAAUCAGCAUAACGGCAAGCAAAAUAAGAAUUGUGGACAACGUGACGAAAGAGAGAACUGGAUUUUGUCUGUUCUUUUUAUUUCUGUUGUAAGUUACUGUACAGCAGAUCUCGUUGUGCUUCAAACCCACUAAAGAAAGGCUGAAAAACACAAAAUUCCAUAAACAAAGACAGAUGCAAAGCCAACUUAGCUACCCCAAACCAUCUUAAGAAGGCAAAGCUCAGAAAAACUCAGCAAAAAACUUUUAAUUAUCUCCAGAGUUGACAAAAUGAAGAUUUUGCACUCACCUUCUUGGGGAGAAACCUUUGGUUCAGCCAAUCUAAGCAUCCUGAAGUAGCUCAAGGCACAAAUCAAGAAAAUUAAGGAGUUCUUUGCAACCAUGAUCAAGAGAAAAUGUGGGUCUCAGAUAAGCCAAGACCCAGGUAGCUGGUUUCGCUUUGGACUUGCGUUCUCAGAGUAUUGUCAAAAGAAGCAAAACUCGGAAAUCUCUCUCUCUCUCUCUCUCUCUCUCUCUCUGUACUUUAUUUGACGUUUCUGGGCCUUGGAGGUGUGCAUGUUGGAGCGUAGCCCCCACCGUACCGAACGAACUCAGGAGUCAAACUUUCUUUUUCCGUCAUUUCAGUUUCAGAAGACAAAAAUAUCAUCACCUAAACUUUUCCUGUCAGAUUAUCAAAUUUUGCCUCGGGACUUUUGUGAAGGUGGAAGGUGUUUUUUUUUUUUUUUUUGGUCGGUUGAAGGUGGAAGGUGUUAGCUAGUAAAAAUUACAAUUACUUGUGCUCGACUUUUGGAGGGUUUUUUUCUCAUUUUUUUUCUGAAAUACUGAACUUCUCGGUUGAGUUUAAGCUUAAAUUAAUUUAAUUUUCAAAGAACUCCAUAAUAUUAUAGUUAUUACAUUAUACUGUACUCGGGACUCAUCGAGUAAUCGAACUUUCAAGUUUCAAUUACACAUAUCAAUUCACCAUAUUAUAAAUCGCCAUGUCAACAUUUAGACACAACGACAUCGUUUUAAAUUUACGUUAUGUAAGCUCUAGCUUAGAGUAGAAUAUGCUUGCUAUUAAAAACAAAAAAGUCCUAGCAUCAAAAUGUUAAUCGAGUUUAUUUGACCUUGAAAAGUCAAGCUUAUUCGGUAACACAUAAUCAAACCCAUUAUAUACAUACUUAACGUCGAAGCUAUAGACUAUAGUUAAUGCCGAAGCUCAGAGAAUGUACGCUCCAAUUCUCGCCACUAAACACUUCACUUAUGAUAUGUGGGACAGUUUUGCCGCAUGCCACCUGUUGGACCAAUAAGCUUUUGCUAUAAUUUAAUUUUGUACUCGUGAAAAGUUAAAGAAAUUUAAUGAUUUUGCCAAAAAUGAGAAUUUAGAUUAAGGCAUCAUGACUAUGUAGUGAAAUCUCCAUAGUUAGGAUAUUCAAUGAAUAUAAAAUGAAGAUAAACAAAUAAAUAAUAUGAGCAAAGAAUAAGAUUAUAAAACAGUAGCUCUUGUUUCUACAUAAGUUAUUUAGUGACAUGUGUUUUAAAUAGAAAUGAAUUUUUACCAUGUGAACUAAAUAAUUUGAGCAUAAUAAUUUAUGAAAAUGUAAUUGGAGCUCGAUAUUUUACACCAGACUUAAAUACAAGCAACCAACUAUAUAUGCAUAUUUUUUGGAAAAAGAAGAAGACUAGAUAUGCAUAUUUACAUUCUCCCCCUUUGUAGAGGAAAAAUGGGAAUGUAAUCGAAAUUUAAUCGUGAGCCUAAAAGCCGAGAUCUCUCUUGGGGUUGACACCUUUGUAGCUUGAAUCAUUGCUAGGCCACUUUAGUGGGGCUUGAACUCGAAACUGAAAGUGCAAAUUCUCCUAAAGUAAAAUAUAUAUUUACAUAAUCAAGUUAUAUUCAACAUCCGACAAGUAUUUGCCAUCAUCACAAGCUGCUUAAUCUAUUAAUGCCGUAAAUUGGCCUUCCUGCUAAACAUCCUUUCUUCCAAGAAUAGGACAAUGAUAAUUGCAUUAUAAAGUAGGUAUGAUAUUACGUUUAAGGCAUUAUAAAGUAGGUAUGCUAUUACGUUUAAGGCAUUAUAAAGUAGGUAUGCUAUUACAUUUAAGGCAUCAUGAAAGUUUCAAUACAUAGAAGAAAAAAAAAUGCCACUACUCGCUAUGUGCAUAUGUACAUGAAUUGGCCACUUGUUUAGGGGACCGUCAACAAUGGCUGCCAGAUAAAAGCUAAUUUCAGAACAUCUCAAUCUCAGGGUUGAUGUAUUGGAUUUUUCAAAGGCUUUUGCGUCGUGAUUACAGUUGGCCGAUGACGAUCUGGAAAUGACUUUUCCUUCGGUGGAAGUCAUUUUUAAGCGGGCUUUGACCGCAUGGACCGUGUUCGAUUCUUCAUCGUUCGUUAUUGGAUGCAAUUUGCAUAUCUGGACGGACAGCGACGUGGGUGUCCGACCCGGAGACGAGACCCCAUCACGUAGAAUUAUUUUAUCGGAGCUGACUAGAUGUCCGUUCCGACGAGAGUGGGGCAUGGUCGAGGAGAAAUUAUUAUACGACCAUAGUAAACGUGCAUGGCUGCAAAAUCGCGGGGCUGGAAAGAGAGACGACGUGUUUGAAUAGAAGCCGUUUCAAAUUCGCAAUCAAGCGACGUGAGACGAUACCGGAUUGAGAAUUGCUAUGGAGUCAUUGCUAGGGGCGAUGAUAUUGCAGUCGUGAAGUGUUCUUAUUCCUUUUCUUUUCUUUUUUAAUGAAGUGACUUAUUUUCACAAGGAUAUAUAAAAUGUCUCAUUCACCUGUAUCAAACGAAGGGCUUCAUGCGUACAGUGGAUGGCAUGGCUCCUAAAGUUACUCUAGGUGGGUAGAGAAUCCGUAAUUUGAGUAAAAGACCUGCCACUAUUGAGAAAACUUCCUAAUAGAUUUUGACGUCAACAAAAUUGUUCAUGAAAAUUUGGUCAGUCUGAUAAUCAUCUUAAAGUAUAUUGAUCUAGAAAAAUACUCUUGGAGUGAAGUUAUCUCAAUAUAGUUCGAACUGAAGACCAGACUGUUAAGUCUAUUUCAGUUGGAAUAAGCUCGGGCUUAAGUUUAGACUUUAUAUUGAAGAUGAAAAUCUUCACACUAUGACUACGUUUGGCGGUUGAGAUGAAAUUCGAGAUAAGAUCAAUAUUAUCUUAUACCGUGUUUAAUGCUUACUCAAUAUAGGAUUAAAUUGAAUAUAAAAGGGAUAUAAGCUGGAUAAAAUUACUCUAUAAGGAAGAUGGAAUAUAGAUAGAUAGGAUCACCGCCCUCAGCGGCGCAGCUGGCUUGGGCUCUCUCCCCCUCAUGAAGGGGAGAAGUUCGAAUCCCAAAUGCGUCGUUAGAGAUUCUUACCUGGAGUAUUGUGGCAGUGGGUUUUGCAGUCACGUACUAUGGCGAUGGAUCCUACAGUCGCUCCUUCAGAGUUUGUUCGCCGGCUAUCGGCUUACGAGGUUCCCUAGGUUACCAAAAUAUAUAUAUAUAUAUAUAUAUAUGUAGGUAGAUAGGAUUUGUAAUAUCCAUAAUAUAAAAUUUAUUUUUUUCAAAUAACAAACUUAUUAACUUAAGAAAAUUGAAAUUAUAUUUCAAUAUAAACAGUAUUUGAACUCUAAUAUAAGAAAUUCAAAAUAUGAAAAAAAAAAUGAAAAUUUAGCUUUUUUAAUUUAAUCUUAGUUUUAUUUAUAUAUUCGACUUUAAUUCUAUAUUAUAAUAUAAAUUCAAUAUAUAAAUAUAAAUAUAUAUUAUAUUUAUAUUUAUUACAUGUUUGAGGCAUUUUUGUAUUUUAGGUAUAUUAGUACAGUUUACUAUUUAAUAAAAUUUCAUCAAAGAAUGAUGAAAGGGGAAAAAAGAAAUAAAAAAUAAAAUGAUUUAAAAAAGAGAGUAAAAAAUAAAAAUAAAUUAAGCAAUAAUUUCGCAAGAGAUUUUUACCAUAUCAGUUUGUGAACUUUUAGGUUUAUUUACAUUGAUGUGUUUUUUAUACCAAAAAAUGUACAUAAGAUUAUGUGAAUAUAUCUGACUUUAUUAUUGCAAUUCACCAAAUAAUAGAUUGGAUGUAGCAAAAUCCAUGGAUUUCUUAUCUAAUCUUAUCAUAUCUAGUAUUAUUCUAGUUAGAAAUCCGAACAACCAAAUAGUGUAAGAAAAUUACUUUUGCUCCCAUCCUGACAUAAGUUGAGACUGAGACAAGUUCAAAACGUGACUCAAGUCUAGACCAAGACAAGUUCAAAACAUGACUCAAAUCUAAAAUGAGACGCAAGUUUAGAACAUGACCACAAUCCAAAAUGUAUAAUGGCUAGUGAUCCGGUUCAUAUUUCACACUAAAAAAUAUUGGAUUAACUCAAUCUUAUUUGAUUGGCAAAUCAAUUUUGAGACAAGUUCUUUUCAAAUGGAGAUGCUUUACUUAUUAAAACCAAGACUCUAGUUGUAUGGGUGACUAGAAUCAAGUGAAGAUUUAGUUUUGUCUCUCAACGGCCACACAAUUUUCUUGAUACAAAUUUGCCCAACUAAUAGAUUAGAAUAUUAUCCUUUGGAGACCAUCCAACGACUAGUUUGGAAAUAAAUGAGUUUAUAAAGAGACCAAGGUACCAAGGAGCAUGUAAGAGACAAGACCCAAUAUUUAGAAUUCCAAAUUAUGAGCAUACUUCGACCAUACACUUGUUUUUCGUAAGCUUAAUUUUUGUGAUCAUGAGAGAAGUACAAAAAAAGUAACCGAGUGAUAUAGUGUGAUCUAUCAGACACUGAGUGUUAAUACUCAAUAUUAUAAUCUCUUAUUAAUCAUCUAGUGGAAUCUAGCCAGUGGACUAUCAGUAUGGGAUAGUAAACGUAGGCUUGAUUUAAGUCAAAUCACUAUAAAUCUUGCAUGCAAAUUAUCUUGUCCCUAAUCUCUUUUGGUUUAUUAUUAUAGUCUAUUACACACUCCCAAGGUAUUUCUAAAGUUUGUUCUACUAUACAAAUGAUUCUAUAUAAUCUGAUCUUUUGUUCAGAUUUUGAUCUUGACUCUUUCUAUUUCACUUUGAAUUAUCAAGAUUUUAUAAAAUCCCUUACUUACCCCCCCCCCUCCAGGUGAUACUUGCUAUCUACUUCAGCCACGUCCAAGUCAGGAGCUCCCACUCAGCUAAUUCAAUAAGGGUUAGCUACACGAUGUUUAUAGACACUUUGCAAUAAGCUUAAGCAACAUCUUAAGUUGUCUCGAUUGAUUAAAACUCAAAAAUCCAAUGAUGAGCUUGAAUUCAACAUGUAGUUGAAAUGAAUUAAAAAGUUUUUGAAACGUACAUGUUACGAAAUCGCAUGUUGAUUCCAUAAAAGUAACGCUUGCAAAUAAUUCACCAAGCAGAAUACAAUAAUAAAAGGACAGAAUCAGAAGAACACACCAGCAAAUUUGUUAACGAAGUUCACCCAAACCUAGGCUACGUCUCCGCGCAGAGGUACUCUGCAAAUCUACUAGAUUUCGAAAAAAGUUUGAAUACAACAAUGAUCUUCUCUCAAGAUCAUGGCACAAAGAGAUUGAAAACUCUCGUAAAGAAAAAACUUACUUUUUUCUUCUCUUUUUCUUGCCUCUUUAUUUUCUUUUUCAACGUCUUGAUGGUUAGCGUCUUACCAUCGUUAAUAUAAAGGUGUAGCUUUUAACCUAAAAGCAAAUAUAAUAAAAAAGACAAAAAAAAAGCCUCUAAAAAUAUUUGGCUUCAUCUAUAACAAUCUCCCACUUGAAGACAAAUAUACCUGAGCACCAAGCAACUUUGCAUCCAUCUUCUUCAAAAAAGUAGUACUUGAAAAACUUGUGCCUCUACGAUACUCCUCAUCAAUCAACAUGGAGUAAUACCAAUGGUAGUGAUACAGAAAAUAUGAUUAUCUCUGUCUACUACCUUGGUCAACAUGUCAGCUGGAUUCUUUGAGUCAUUAAUCUUCUGUAACUUUAAUUCAUUAUCUUUCAAUGCUGAUAUGAUAAAAUGAUAAUGCUUCUUGAUAUGUCUAGUCCUUGAGUGAUAAGCUGCAUUCUUUGCUAAGUGCACUGCACUUUGACUAUCACUCCACAGUGUACAGACUGGCUGUUUUCGAUGUAGCUCCUCCAUGUAAUCUUGUAAUCAUAUGAUUUCCUUGGAGGUUUUUGUGAUCGUCACGUAUUAUGCCUCUAUCAUUGAUAGAGCCACUACUUUUUGUAGUUGAGAUACCCAACUCAUUGCUGUACAUACAACUAUAAAUACAUAUCCAAUGGUACUCUUGCCACUAUCUCAAUCACUCAAAUGAUCUGCAUCUACAUAACCUUGUAACUCUAGAGAUGUAUCACCAUAACAAAGUGAGUAAUUGAAAGUACCUACUAGAUAUCUCAAUAUCCAUUUCACUGCAUUCCAAUACUCUCUGCCUGGGUUCUGCAUAUAUCGACUCACAACUCUCACUACCUGUACAAUGUUUGGUCUCGUGGCAUACAUCAAACUCCCUACUGCUGAUGUAUAUGAAACUACCGCCAUCUCAUCUUUCAAAGCCUGAGUGCUCAGACACAUAUCCUUGAAAAGUUUGAAGUGACUCGCUAGAGGAGUUUCAACUAAUUUUGCCUUGUCCAUGUUAAUUUCUUUAACACCUUGUUCACAUAGUCUCAUUACGACAACCAUAAUUUCUUAUUUUCCUGUCCCUGAUGAUUUUCAUGCCUAAAAUAUUCUUGGCCUCUCUUAAGUCUUUCAUAGCAAACUGUGAUGAUAACAUCUUUUUUACUUCUACGAUUCUCUUCAUAUUGGAACUAGUAGCUAGUAUGUCACCCACAUAUAAAAAGAGAUACACAAUGUGACAAUCAUCAUACUUGCGAAAAUAAACACAGUGAUUAGACUCACAGUGUGUAAAUCAUUUUUAUUUCAUAAAACCAUCAAAUUGUAUGUACCAUUGCCGCAGAGCUUGUUUCAAGUCACACAAGCUUUUCUUCAAGCGACAUGCUAUGUGCUCCUUACCUUUAACUUCAAAACCCUUAGGUUGUGCCAUAUAUAAUUUUUCAUCUAAGUCACCGUGUAAAAACGCUGUUUUUACGUCUAACUACUAAUGCAAGCCAAGGGUAGGCUUUCUCAAACAAUAGGAUCGGGAGAGUGACUCGUGCACGGGAAACAAGACGAACAGAAAUUUCAGCACUGCGCAAGCUCAGGAGAACAUUCGUAUCUUUGUCGAUACAGAUCGGAUUGACUUGAUUCUAAAGCCAAAUAACAAAGACUUCUGGAUCUACAAUUUCUAUGUUUUGGGUUUUCUGAAAUAAGCACUGUAGGAUGGUCGAAAUUGGGUUGGAAAUAACGAACAGAAUAUGAAAAGAUGGAAACUCCGUUGGUUGCUCUUCUAGGCCUCCAAGGAAGUUGAGGGGGCACCGAUUCUUCUAGAUCGAUGACUGCAACUCUUCAAGGAUGCAGAUUUCAAAAGCUCCAACUCUUCAAGGACGGAGUGAAAACUCUUUGGCUACGUUUGGUCGUCCGGAUUUCUAAUUGGGAUAGGAUUGGAUAGGAUAGGAUAUGAAAUCCUGGGAUUUUUUUAUAUCCCGUCCAGUGUUUGGUGAAUCGCAGUAUUAAAGUCGGAUAUGUUCAUAUUAUGUACAUUUUUUUUUAUAUAAAUGACAUAUUAUUAUAAAUGAACCUAAAUGUUCAUAAAUAAAGACGGUGAAAAUAUCUCGUAACACUAUUCCUUAAUUUAUCCCUUAUUUGUUAUUUAUUUUAUUUAUUCUCUUUUUUUUAUAUUAUUUUCAUUAUUAUUUCUUUUUCCCCUUUCAUCAUUCUUUAAUAAAAAUUUAUCAAAUAGUAAACUGUACUAACAUACCUAAAAUACAAAAAUACCUAAAAUAUAUAAUAAAUAUAAAUAUUUAAUUUAUAGGUUGAAUGUUUAUUAUAAAAUAUAAUUAAAAUUGAAUAUAGAAAUUAAAAUAAGAUUAAUUAAAAAUAAAUUUUUAUUUUCUUAAAUUAGAAUUCAAAUAUUAUUUAUAUUGAAAUAUAAUUUCAAUUUUUUUAAUUUAAUAAGUUUGUUAUUCAAGAAAAAUAACUUUCCUUUUAUGGACAUUAGAAAUCCUAUCCACCUUUAUCCCACCUCCCCCAUGGGAUAAUUUUAUCCUGUCUAUAUCCCCCUUAUAUCCGACUUUAUCCUAUCCCGAGUGAGCACCAAACGUAGGAUAGGAUAAAUUAUAUCCUAUCCCGAAUUUUAUCCCGACUGCCAAACGCAGCCUUUUAGGUUUUCAAAGGGAUAAACUCUACAAGGUUCACGAUACUUGCUUCAAAGCAAAGUUUUUUUUUCAUUCAUCAAAAGUCGUCUUUCUUUUACAAGGAAUUGGAUGGCUUAUAUCGUCAAAGAAAUAAAGAUAGAGUAUAGAAACUUGAAAGCAUUAAAGAGCUUAGGAACUAGAAACUAGAAACUAGAAAAAUAAUAAAGAGCUUAGGAACUAGAAACUAGUAAAAGCAUAACGUCUUCAUGGCUCCCAAGGUGUCUUCUUUCAAACUUCUGGGAUGGACUCAAGAUGUCGAUACAGCUUCUCGGUUUCGUCGAGCUUGAAUGCGGGCCGAUCUUCUUGGUCGAGAGAGCCGGUCUUCAAUGCGGGCUGCAUCAACUACUCAAGAUAAAGAUCCUCCACUGCAACUAUACUCAGCAGAACUCUAAUUGUUGUCAUUUUCACUACAGAUGAAAAUAUCUUGACGUAGUUGAUCCAUUCUUUUUUAGAAAAGCCCUUGACUACAAGUCUCGCCUUAUAUCUAAUACUACUAUCUGCUUCAUUCUUAAUCCUGUACACCCAUUUGUUUAAUAAAUUUUUUUUUACCAGUAGGCAACUUGGUAAACUCCCAAGUUUUCUUCUGAAGUAACGAGCUCAUCUCGCCUUUCAUAGCACACUCCCACUGCAAGUGAGACGUGUCUGCCUUUGCCUCAUCGUAAGUCUCCGGUUCCCCUAAAUUUGUAUAUAAAAUAUGGCUAAGAACAGUAUUAGCUAAUGGAUCAAAAAUUAUCUUUGGCUUUCUCACACGUGUAGACCUCAUCAAUUCAGGUACUUCAGGGUCGUUAGUUUGCUUCGAAUCACUGCAUUCCUCUUGAACUACCUCUUCACUAAUAAUAGGCUCAUCUUGAACCUCUCUUUCAAGCACACUUUGAUCUACUGGAAACAUUUUCACGAGCAUUGUGUCUAAUUCAACAUAUUCUGGUUCUACUACCUUCUCAUGCUCUGUUUGACGAUCAUUAUACAUCUUUUUUUUCAUGGAAUACCACAUUCUGACUGUGGAUGACUUUGUUAUUCUCAUAAUUCCAAAGCUUAUAGCCAUACUUGUCGUCACCGUAUCCGAUAAAGACGCACUUCUGGGACUUAGUAUCAAACUUUUUCAUAUCUUCCCUAUCAAUCAAAGCAUAUGCAAUGCAACCAAACACCUUUAGAUGUGAAUAAUUAAUCUUUUUAUCUAACCACCGUUCUUGUGGUAUUUCUCCAUCCAAUGCACUAGAUGGAUUUCUGUUGAUAAGAUAAACAACUGCAUCAACGGUGGCAGCCUAUAAGUAUAGUGGGAGCCCCGCGUGUAGCCUCAUGCAUCUCGCAUGUUUUAGAAUAGUCAUGUUCAUCCUUUCAGCUAUACCGUUUUCUUAAGAAGUUCUAAGAACAAUAUUUAACUCGUGUAUGCCUUCUUGACUCAAAUAUUCUGCAAAUUCCUUACUUGUGUAUUCACCACCAUUAUCAGACUUCAGGGCUUUAAUCUGAUAAUCUUUCUCUUUUUUUACCAUGGUCUUCCACAUUCUAAACAUCCUGAAUACUUUUGAUUUUUCUCUAAGAGCAUAGACCCAAGUCUUCCUUGUCGCAUCAUCAAUGAAAGUGAUAAAAUAUCUCUUACCGCCAUAAGAGAGUUCCUGAGUAGGUCCCCAUACAUUAGUAUGAACCAACUCUAGCUUCUGGCCUUUAUUUUGUCGUCCAUUCAAUUGAAAACUAGUAACAUUAUGUUUUCCAUAAAUGCAACUCUCACAAUAAUCUAAAUCAACUUUUUGCAAACCCGGAAGUAAUUUCUUCUAGUGUAAUUGCUUUAUACCUUUUUUCACCAAGAUGUCCCAAACGAUAAUGCCAAAGAGUAGACAAAUUACCUAUAGCCAUUGUAAUUGCAACCAUAUCACUGAUAUUGUCUCAUUGGAGAAGGUAAAAUGCACCCAUACACUUUCUUUUUGCUACUACUCUUGCCCAUGAGGUUAUCUUUCACUAUUCGUAUCCAAAGGUUAUUACUAAACCUUCUUGGUCAAGUUUACUGGUUGAAAUAAGAUUUUUCUUUAAUUCCGAAAUAUACCUAGUUUCACGUAAAACUAGACGUCCUCCACCUGAGAUGUUCACAGUCACAGUUCCUUUCCCGACAAUAGGACACAUGUAGCAAUUCCCCACAACCACUUGUUCGAAAUAUCCAUUAGCAUAAUCAUCAAAUAUGUAAGAAGCAUCGGAAUCAAUAAACCAUUUAUCUAUCGUCAAGUCAAACCCUGCAAACAAAUGCAAAUUAUCUAGCAAUGUCGCGACCAAAAUUUUCGGGUGUACCACCUAGGUUUGGCUAAUGAAUUGUUAAGCCUAGACUUAACUCGGAUUCUCCCAAACCCAUAUCAAUUCGUGACUUAAGUUUAAAUUUCUUAACAUACAAAUGGAUUUUAUAUAGAAGUCGUCACUAAUCAGUUUACGGUAGGUCAAUUAGACACCUAAGUAAAAUAAUGGGAGGAUUAUUUUACUCCUACGAACUAGAGACUUCGAAUACAGAGAUUUGGUUACACUAGAUUUCUCUAAUGUCCUUUCAGUACCAUUUUUUUUUUCAAAAAUAUUUUUGCAGGCAGUUUGGAUUGAUUUUAAAUAUAUUUCCCUAACAUGUGAAAUGAUCAUGCGGGUGCGCAAUCCACCAAUUUAACACCCAAGGAAAGCAAAUAAAAAAAAAUGCAGGGACUUACCUCGUAGCAACGAAAGCAUCUGCGUUAUUAGAUCAAAAUUUACAUCAACAGUUCUAGAUAUAAUUUCUAAUUAACACGCAAUUUCCUUCUUCUUCUUUUUUCACUUAUUUAAUGAGAAUCAUACAAUGCAUGCUACUAAUCUAACAUGAAAAGAUAUGACAUGGUCGCAUCUCGGCUUCUUUGGCCUUCUUCUGGGCCGCCAGAUGCAACAUUCCUUGGAGAAAUCGAUGCUGGGAUGAGGUACUCUCUUGGGCCCGGAAGUUCCUAUCUGGAAAUGACUUCUAUCACAGAAUAGUUCGGUUCUCCUUUGGUGGCCUUUGCCAUCUCAUCUGGAAGAAGAGGAAUGCAAUCUUUUUCAGAGGUGAAUCUCUUGUGCUUCCGGCGCUCGAAAAUCACCUUAUCAAGAUGGUUAGAGAUAAAGCCAUCACCUUUAAGAAUGUCUCUCCCUCUCCGAGGAAUCAAAGACUUCAAAGAGGAUGGGGCUUCGACCCGGGCGUGUUUCUAAGUGGAUCUGCUCCUUAAUCGCUAUGUGCUGCUCUCAUUUCCGUUCCGCAUUCUCAGGCUAUUCACUGGAGGAUUGAUGGGUCCAUCACCGCGCCGGUGCUCCUUGGGUGUCGCCUUCGUGUUUGCUAGCGGGCUCGGCCCUUGUUUCUUUUACAUCGGCUCCCCUUCACUUUUGCCAAUCGGUUAAGAGUGUCGGUUAUGGAACUGAUCUUUUGUACAUUUGUCAUUCUCUAUAAUAUUAUUACCUUUACCAAAAAAAAAAAGAUAUGACAUGGCAAUAUGACCUAACUAUAUGACAUAAUAAGAUGCAAUCUAUACUAAAAAAAUGGAAUCAAUUUAUUCUAAGGCAUUUUUUGGUAUUUUCCCUGAAAUUCGAAAUUAUAAAAAUGCGAAAAUUAUCUAUCUAAAUUAAAAUAUCAUCUAAUUUGUAUUAGGAAUGAGGUUAAGCCAAAUCCUAAUUUUAAACUAGAAUGUUAUCCUAACUUAGAAAUCCCUAACUAAAAUGCAAUCUAUUUAAAAAAUUUAUCUAAACUUAUAAUAGAUUAAAAACUAUUAUCUAGAAUUAAACUAUAUGAAAUUUUACCCCACAAUGCAAUGACAUGCAAAGAAUGCCCUAAUUCUAAUUUUUUUUUUUGUAUUUUUGUAUUAAUUUCGAAAUUAAAAAUUGUCAAAUAAUUAAAAAUGCAACCUUAAGUUAAAAAAACUAGCAACCUAAAUUGAUUGAUUUGAUUUUUUAUUUUUUAUUUUUUGAAAUUCGAAAUAAAACUCCUAUUCUAAAUAUGCAAACCCUAAAACAAGAAAUAAACUUAAUCUAACUCACAUUUUUUGGAUUUUUUUUUUACAAAAACAAAAUCAAUUUAAACGACAAGGCAGCAGAUCAGAGCAAGACAAUAUUGAUAUCCAAAUUGACAAACCAUAUCUCGCGCAUGAGAUUGGGUUGGCCAAUUUUAAAUAAAUCGCGAAUCAAAUCUCGGACGUGAAAUUGGAUUGGCGAUUUUUCAAGCGAUUGCGAGUCGGAUUUUGGGCGCGAAAAUCGGACUAUCAAUCACAAAUUUCAGAAGCUAUUUCAUGUUAAACAUCUCAUCCUUACACUAAGGAAUAAUUAUACUAAAAAAGAACAUAAUAAAAAAACGAAAUAAAGUAAAUAGAAAGAAAAACUACCUAAUUUGCUUUUCUUUUUUUUCCUUUUGUUUUUAUUUUUUUCCUUUUCAAGCAAAGCAGCAACGUGGUGAUCGUCCGAGGUUGGGUCACCGGUGUUCGAAGCUCCGAUGUCGACCGGCGAUGGGCGGAUUGGCGGCGAGCGGACCGUCGGCAAAGCAGACCGGCAGUGGACUCCGGUGGUGUCGGGCAGCAGCAGAAGGCGAAAACUGCAGGGCGUCGGGUCGCGGCUGGUCGCGGAGAUCAACGGCUGAGCAGCGGCGGCGGUGUGGUGGCAAGGGUCGGCGGGUGAAGGAAUACUCAAGCGACGGGGGGUUGCUGGUACUCGACCGAUCAAAGGCGCAGCAGUAGCAGAGGUGCGACGAGCCGGCUCGGGGUCUGCUAGGUCGCGGGUUGCAAACGAGUCGGGGGUGUUCCAGUGCGGCAGAUUGAGCGAUGGCGUCGCCGAAAGGGAUUCGGGAUCUGCGAUGCUGCGGGCUUGCAGGAAUCUCGGCGGCGCGGUGAGGGUUGUGGAUGAGACCGGCGGAGCAGCGGUUGAGCGGAGAGGGCUCGUGGGUCGCCGGCGGAGCAGCGACGGUCGGCGGCUCGGCCGCCGGUACGGUCGAAGGCCCCCCUCUUUUGCGAGGAAGACGAUGCAACCUCUUUUCUUUUCUUUUUCUUCUUUCUUUCUUUUUUUUUCUUUUCUUUCUCUCUCUUUCUCAUGUCACUCACGUCCCCUCUCUCCCUUUCUUUCUUUCUUUUUUUUCCUUUGACUUUUCUUCUUCUUUUUCAAAAAAAUGAGAGAACCCCCCUGUCUUUUUCGUAUGCAAUGUCUUUUUUUUUUUGGUAAAAAUCGUACGCGAUGUCUUUUAUAAGCCCAAAAAUUGUAUCUUCGCUAUAUAUUUUAUUUCUCAUUUUAUUUGUGCAUAAUUCCCCUGAAUAUAUUGUUGUCGACAUAAGUGUAUCCCCGUUGAGCCCAUUGUCCGGGGAAUUCUGGAGGGAUAUGAAAAGUAACAAAAUACUUAUUUUCAAUAGUAGGAAUGAGGUGCUGGUCGAAUUUGGAGGACUUGACGUACUCCUUUACUUACUUUGGGGUUUUGUGAAUAAGUUGGCGGAUAAAGUGGAUAGAUGAGAAUGACGAGUUGGCUUUGGCAAAAGCGGAGUAAGGGUUUAUGAGAGGAAUUUUGGUUUCAGAAAUCUUGGUUUCAUCACUAAGAGAGACUUCAUAAAGAUAAUUUAUCUUAGAAGCAUUGAAAACACGAAAUUCUAGAUGUGUUGAAGAUGAAGGAGAAGGAGCAAGAGAAACGGGUGCUUUGAGGAUUUCUGGUUCUGUAGACAUGAUGUGAAGGGAUCUUCUCAGCACUGGAUUCACCUAUCAAGCGCAUGAAAUGGAUAAUAUUACAAAUGAAACCAUGGCGGGAUCAGGCUGUUGGAUAACAGGGUCAGAUUCCUGAGUACCCAAAUCCUUUAGAAAAGAUUCUAAUGGAUUGGAUAACAUCAUCUAAUCUGGUCUUUCUUUUAUAACAAUCGAACUUGUUCUGUAGGCAUCUUCUCUUUUCCUUUGUCUUUCUGCAACUUUUUGAUAUGAUCUCGUAAUUCUGCCAUAUUUGGUUUUUUUUUCUAAAAGAAUCUUUUGGAAUGGCAGCAAAAAUGGACGUCUAGGGUGGUGGAGGCAAAUACCUAGUUUUGAUAGUAGUUGCGAAGGGAUCGAAAGGUCUGAACCUUCAUUCUUCAAGGAGUUGAGGCGAUAUUCUCUUUUGUAUUUUUCGCAUAUUCCAUCCAAAAAUUUCCUUUCUGCUUAAGAGUAUGUCCCUCAGUGUAUAUUAUUUGAAUAUGUGAAGAAUCUUAGCGGAAUAUGUGAAAAAUCUUUUCCUCACCGACGAUCCAAUAAAACAAAACAAAAUAACAUAAAUGUUUCUAAACUAUAUGCAAUGUGAUUAUUAUUAUUAUUAUUUAUUUUUUGGGUAAAAAUUAACUCAUUUUUUAUGCAAAAAUUUAGGUGUCAACAAGCAAAAAUUCAUCGCUAACCAUAUUAGCUCAUUGAUUCUCAUCUCGCUUUUCUUUUUAUAGGCUUCACACUAAAACCUCCGAUGCUAGUUCGGUGACAAAACCAACACUCAUCUUUUGCAACCUGUCUCUUACCCCUUGAUUGUGAUCUGCCACGCUCAUUGAAUUUUCCUCUACUUUUACUUCUUCCAUGGUUCUCCACUGCGAGUGCCAUUGAAGAUCUAGAUGCCGAAAAAUUAUCUCCACUUGAGACUUUCCUUCGCAUUUCUUCAUUCAUGAUACUAUUCACAUCAUCAUCAAGAAUUAAAUCAUUCUUCAUGAUGCUCAAAAUUCCCUACACUACGGUAUUGUAGCUUUCUAAAAGAGAACAUAAAAAUAAUAAAGCUUGAAGCUUCAUAUCUAAAUUUAUGCCUGCGGAUUCUAAUUGACCCAUGACCUGCGUGAAACUAUUAAUAUGCUUUGCCACAGAAUCUCUAUCAGAUAACUUCAUAUUAACUAGUUUCUUCAGCAAAAAUAUCCAUAGACAGCUUCUCAUAAAUAUUCAUUAGAAUAUUCAUGGCCUCUUUUGCAGUUUUUGCUUUCGCGAUGUGGUAUAUUGUCUUUUUCGUCAACCCUAGACGAAUGCACCUAACGCCUUUUGAUUAAGAAUUUUCCAUUUGACUUCUGCGGUCGGAUCCACUUCCGCCAUCUCGAGUUUCCAACCCUCAAGUAGUGCAUAUAGAUCUUUUUGAUAAAGAUAAUUUUCGAUUUGUAGUUUCCACCAUCCAAAAUCUUGCCCAUCGAACUUAUUGAUUCUGAUUUUAUCUUCUGCCAUACUGUUUGCUUUCAAUCGAACGUCACCGAAAAAACCCUCAAUGUUCUCGAUUAGCCAACCCAUACUCUAAUAUUAAUUAUUAUGAAAUCGCAUGUCGAUUCCAGAAAAGUAACGCUCGCAAACAAUUCGCCAAGCAAAAUAUAAUAAUAAAAGGACAGAGUCAGAAGAACAUACCAAAAAAUUUGUUAACGAAGUUCACCCAAACCUAGGCUACGUCUCUGCUCAGAGGCACUCUACGAAUCUACUAGUCUUUGAAAAAAGUUGGAAUACAACGAUGAUCUUCUCUCAAAAUUAAGACAUAAAGAGAUUGAGAACUCCUUUACCAAAAAAAAAAAAAAAAGAGAUUGAGAACUUUCGUAAAGAAAAAAAACUCACUUUUUUCUUCUCUCUUUUUCUUGCCUCUCUAUUUUAUUUUUCAGCAUUUUGAUGGCUAGCGUUUUGCCUAAAGGUGUAGCUUUUAACCUAAACGCAAAUCUAAUUGAAAAGACAAAAAAGCCACUAAAAAUAUUUGGCUCAAUCUAUAAUAAUACAUGAGGUUAUUAAAAAAAAUUUUAGGCAUACAUGGGGUUAUAUGUUAUUACCAAACCUAUCCAGUUAAGGUCAUGAGCAUAUCACCGAUGGAAGGAACGAGCUGAUCGAUGCACACAGUGAGGCAGACCUAUUGACCCAACCCAUGGUCGGUCCAACUAUGAGCUUUUUAAUUGCAACAACCUUGAAUAUAUGCCGUGCGGCUCGGCCCAACCCCUCCCUGCCUCUCUCUUCUUCCCAUUGGCCUCUCCACUUCAAGCCCGACAGCCCGGCCCGGGCAUAUCGGGGCCCCAAACAAUCGGGCCGGCCCGAGCUUCGGACGUCUCGGACUUUCUAUUAUUAAAAAUUCUCAUUGCCCCCGACCCAGAUGCCACGUGGCGCUCAUGGUCUCGCCACGUGGCUCCCUUAUAGAUCCUCCCCAUCCUUUCUCGCCGGAAGCAUUUAGUUCGUCGUUCCCAAUACCGAGCUGGCCGAGAAACGCAGGAUGUGACGAAACCCUAAUCCCCGACCUCGAUUUCCGAUUCACCUCGAUUCUCCUGGGCUCGUCCAAUUCCGGCGGCGACGACGGCGGCGGAGGCGGCGGCGGCUCCACCUUUCACGAUGCCUGCGACGAUUUCCCGUUCUACGAUCGCCCGACUUCCUACGACUCCGCCGUUCCUCUCGACGAAUCGGAACCGAAGCGGCCCUCCUCGCCGGAGAUUCCCCCCGGCCUCCCGCGCCGGCAUUCGGGUAGGGUCCCCGCCGGAGUAGCGGCCGGGGUCGAAUCGGGCUUCGCCGCCCGUUCCGGAGAGAACAGGUUCAGGCUUUACCGCGAUUUGACGGAAGGGGAAGGUCCUAUCGAGCGAGCGCACUCGGGUGUGGAGGAGAGCGGCUCGAUUUCGGUUCCGGAUAUUGUUCGGCGUGAUGAGAGCGAGGAUUCCGCCAUAACAACGUCGAACGAUGCUGGAGUCGGCGACAUGGCAGCGGAGUCGAUCGUGACUCCGUCCGAGGUCUGUGAGGGCGUGGGCGAGCGGAAGGAUGGCGCGUCUAUAGUGACCACGGUGGAUGACGAACGAAUCGGCGACUCGGCGGUUCCGCUUGGUGGAACCACGUCUUCUAGUUUGCUCAUAUCUAUAGCGGGAAUACUAAUUAAGGCAAUUGAAUUCCAAAUUAACUUGUUAGUUAGCUUUAUUACUUUCCCAUUUUGGUGUUUUCGUACAUUUGACGCCUUCGUCUUCGACCCCUAUGCGACAAUGAGGUGUGGCGUGAAGUGUUUGACUGGAAAGAUAUCGAGCGUAUGCAAUUCGGUGUGCGAUAAAAUGAGUCCUUUUGUACGUGAAUGGUUCGAGCACAAUAAGUCAAUUUGGAAGCUCGUGCUGCGGUGCGGUCGGGGGCUCGUUUGGUCGAUGUAUGUUUGUUUCGUCUUGGUCGGUUUACUGGUGACUGCUGCUCUGAUUAGUGGUCUUAUAAUGAGGUUUCUGGUGGCAGAGCCGAUCAGGAUAGAGGACAAAUUGAACUUUGAUUAUACGAAACACAGCCCGGCCGCUUAUCUACCGGUAAGUUCUUGUGCCGGUGCAGAUUGUGGUAUGAAAUGUGGAGGGAUGGUUGUUGAUAGUGGGGAAAGAAAUCGAGGAAGCGAUGCUGUUUCAUCGUCGUUCGGCACCGAAACAACAAAAGUCAAAAUACCGCCGCUUUCUUGGCAGGACGCCUACACGAGUGGACUGAGAAAAGUUCAACAAGAUCCGGCUUUGAAUGUUGGACAAUGUUUCUACUCUCUUCCGGUUCUUUCAACCUUUCUUUUACCUUUUCUCCACUUUUGUUUCGUCACAUUAUAUUGUCAUACAUGGCGCGUCUCUUGUGUAAGUUUGCAAGCUCCAUUCAGAAUAUGCAGGAAGACAACCAAUCUUGCUUUACAAUCAAGAAACGCCGUCUGCAAAGCAGUUCAAACCUUCCCCAUCUUCUCGGUGCGCGAAUUAGUUGAGGAAAACCGGUCAAAAAAAUCGUCUUUUGGAUGAAAGAUGAGCUUCUAGACAAUGAUUAAUGAUUUGGAACUCCUUAUAUUGUUGGUCAGCACUACCGCCACCAACAAGGAUCAUCAACGCAACGCAUGUCAAGUCAAUCACUAAGAAAUUAAAAUACCUAAAGUAUGUUUUCCUUAGACAAAAUAAGAUGCAUGCACCACCAUUGGAAACUAGUACUGACUUUCCUCAUCAAAACUUAAGAUAUCACUCAAACUUAGAUUAAUAAAAAGAGUUACGAAAUAUUUUGCACCUUGAUUUAUACAACACUAUUUGUAUGUUUCAAAAGAAAUUAGGGUACUGUUCUUAAUAAAAUGUCUAAUUGCAUGAGGUGCUAAAUUUAAAGAGAAUAAAAAGCCAAUCCAAAUAGGUAUGGAGAUAAAAGGGGACUAACGGAAGAUCGUUCCAUGAAUAAAUUCUACACAACUGAACGGAACAUGUUUACAUAAUAGUAAUCAUGAUAAGAACGACCACAGUGAGAUAAGGAAAAGGUAAGGCGAGAGAAAAACAUCUUUUGACUACUAUUACUAGUAAAAUGGGUAAAGAAUAAUAUUGUACAGAAGAUGCAUCCUUCUAUGCAUCACCAACGAGCCGUGCAUAACAUUUGUACAAGCACCGCGAGCUUCGUUGAUGCAGCUGCAAAAUUGCUAAAUUUAAGAAAACAUACACUUAUGCUAAAUACAGUCUUGACUCUGGUUUAAUUUCCACACAUUCAUCGUGGGUAAAAGCCGAAGACGAACCAGAAGUGUGUACUGCAGUCAUGCUCCCUGAUGGCAUGUUCCCCGAAUGGCUUCCACUCAUGCUUCGACCCUUCGUGUGACAGUCAAGGUCUCUCAGAGCCUUGAACCUCAGGUCUUCGGUGUAGUUGCCUGGUGUUGGGAUUGAAUCUGGAAUAGUUGCCCUUCCUUCGAGCAUGUUCACCACCUCAGACAUUGUCGGUCUUAGCGAUGGCGAUGCAUUGGUGCAAAGUAGAACUACUUUGAUAACCAUUUCUGCCUCUUCUCGAUCAAUCUCAGGCUUCAACUUCUCAUCCACUAGUUCCAUCAAGUUGCCAGAUUGUUGUAAUUGACAGGCCUGCAAUCAUAGCAUUAAUAUCGUCAGCAUCGAAUAAAUGGAUCACCAUAUUAUGUUUCGGGACAUUUUCUAAUAUGACAAGCACCUUUAUUAAAUUCAAUGAUGUAAAUGCCUAAAAAUUUCUAGUACUGAAACCAAGAUAAUUUAAAAGUGAAGAUUUUCUUGAAAUGAGUAAAUGCUCUUCUCAUGAAUCUUGUCAUACCAUGCCAUCUCGUUAGAUUGUUCAUCAUAUAGAACACCGAUCGCAGUUAAAAAUGAGAAGAACUUACCCAAUCCAAGACGCAAAUGCACUCAUCACUUGGCACAAAACUACUGUUGCUUUGACCACUGACAAUUUCCAAUACAAGAACUCCAAAGCUGUACACAUCUGCUUUAGAGGUGAGGUAUCCCCAUAGGGCAUAUUCAGGUGCCAUGUAUCCCCUGCAAAUAAGGAUACAAGUUCUAGGUUAAAAUUUCCAUCAGACAUCAACAUCAUACAUAUAAGAACAAGUCAAAAUAUGGUUUUUGUGAUAUUCUCACAGAGACAUGGCGACUCACAUUGUUCCGGCAACCUUGGUGUUAAUAUGAGUCUUUUCCUCUUCAUCGAGCCUAGCCAAUCCAAAGUCGGAUAUUUUGGGGUUUAAAUCUCCAUCCAGCAGCACGUUAGUAGCUUUAAUAUCUCGAUGAAUAAUUCUAAGUCUGGAUUCUUCGUGAAGAAAUGCUAGACCUUUAGCCACUCCAAUGCAGAUUUGAAGCCUUGUAGGCCAGUCAAGUUGAAGCCGAUAGUUCUGUGGACCUACAAAAUACCCAUUCACUGUCUAUACACCGAAAUUUGAUCACAUGGCAUGAGAAUUUAGCAAAAACUACAAUUGAAAAAUUCAGACUCACCAAACAUAGCACGGAAAAGACUAUUAUUCUCCAUAUACUCAUAGACCAGCAACAGUUGAUCCCCUUCAAUGCAACAGCCGUGAAGCUUGACAAGGUUAGGGUGUUGUAAACAAGAAAUCAUGCCUAUCUCAUUCAAAAAUUCACGAUUCCCUUGCUUUGAUCUGGAUGAGAGCUGUUUAACUGCUACCAAAGUACCAUCAGGUAAUUUAGCCUGCACACCACAAUAACUCACAGUUUCUUCCGAAGCAAACUAAGUGGGAACUUUGUUAUUGUCAACAUACGAAUAGCACUUUUAUACCUUGUAUACAGGACCAAAGCCACCCUCUCCAAUCUUAGAAGCGGGAUCGAAAUCAUUAGUUGCUGCUUUAAUUUGAUGCAAAGAAUAAGUCCGUGAUUGCAGAUCCAAUCCUUUGUUAUCAUCUGGACAAGGAUUUUAAAAAAUCAGUGGGAAAUAGUUCUCCAAUGCCCAAAGGAAAAUCUCGCAGCAAUGCAGACUAAGAUGUAUAACCAUUGUUUUACAACCGAAGAACCUUUUUCUUAUAAAGAAUGAAGGAGGAGCAAAAUAAAGAAUGAAGGAAUCGAAGUGAAAAAAUAUGUAGAAAGGAACAUUCAUGAAUAAAUGCGGCUGUGUUUCCGUUUCUCUCUUUUGAUGUGUGAAUGACAGACAUACAUAUAUAUUUGGCCCUGAAAAAAGGAUUUCAUUUGAACUUGUAUACAUAUGAUCCACGUUGAAAGGGAGGGAUUCAUGGUACAACCUGCAGAUUUUCUUCUCCCCCUUUUCCCAGUCAAGUACCCUUUCCACCAAAGGAUGCACAGCAUGAAGAAAACAAAGCACGAGACUCCAACUCCUAUGAAGAUAGAAUUAGUUCUCCUUUUUCCAUGACUAGAGCAACCUUCAAAACCUGCCCAAUGAAACAACUCAAAAGAUAAUACUACUUCUGAACAAAGCACUAAGGAAAACAUCAAAGGAAAAGUACAAGCUCUAGUUUAUACUGUGAAUGAAGGAAAGAAAUCCUUCUAUUUUGCUUUUGAAAACCAACAUCAUGUAAUGUAUGAUCUUAUUUAACGGAGAAUGUAGGUUUAAACAAAUCCUCCUAAGGUACUUUCUGCACUCAAUUGAAAGAACAAGAAAGCAUUUUGUUUAUAUCCAUGUCUUUAUAUGGUUUUGUACCACAUAUAAAUUAUCAUACGCACAAAACUGCAAGACUAGUAAAAUUCACUCUGUUUCAAGCACGAUCCUAAAAUGUACCAGGUCAUGUCCUCAUCCAUGUGGCAGUGAAUGCAAAUUUAAGCAUUUCAUCUGUUUUCAGCUUUCAACAAGGAGAGAAGAAAAGAACGAGAUCUACUCUUGACAUAGAGAAGAGCAGCAGGUGCACUUUUUCAGCAUGUUAUACUGUAGCAAUUUGACUAAACUAAGAUGAAUUAUCAUUAUAGAGACAACAUGAUAAGAAGCCAGAAAAAUGAAGUGUACUUCAUCCAUUAAGCAUUCAGCAAAAGCAGAAGCAUAAUAUUUCUGAAGAAAACCAAAUGCCCAUAAAAUUUGACCAGAGUAUUCCUCCCACACGUAUUCAAUCCACCUUUAAACAAAGCAAGCUGGAGGCUCAAACAACUAGAAAGGUCUAGUCACACAUACCAAAACUGGACCAGCGAAGAAAAAGCUAAGCGACAUAUUCUUAAAAAAAAAAAAAAAAAUGUAGUAGUAGUACUACCAUUAGUCCGAGCAUAUAAUGGACACUGAUUUAUCCCUAAGUUGGGGUGGGUAAUGUCUCACCCGAUACGUACUCUUAUUCAUUGGGACCAAAUUAUAAUGAAGCAGUUGGACUUUUACUAUUAAACAAUCAAAGCAAAGUAAAGGCAAAAUUACACCGGUUUUGUAAAUUGCAAAGAUUUUAUGCAAAACAUUUACUGACUUCUAGAGCAAUUAUACGUAAAGAAAAUAUAUAAACAAUUCACUCACCAGAGACAACAGAAAUUGCUGAUACUAGAGGACCAUAAACACUUCUACGGGGAAUUCUUGUUGUUCCUUUACCCGCCCAAGAAAAUCGGACCUCCAGCAUAUUAUUGGUCACAUUGACAUUAAAUAUUCCCACUACAGGUUUUUCAACCCCACCCGCCUCAUCUUUGAUAUUGAAAUCCUUCCUGACUAAUUUGUCCUGUGAUAUUGUAGCAUGUUGAGAGGAAUGCCCAACUCCAAAUAUGUAUAAAGCACAAGACGCAACUGUAACACGUGGAACUACCUGAAUAUAUAUAUGGAACAUUCGCUUCCCGAGACUAUUAAAUGCAUUGUCAGUUGUGAACUGAAUCUCUGCAAACUGUAAAUGUACAGUGUACUGUCCAUUUCUUAAGCAAUAAAAGAAGUAGGAAAGCGAAAUCGGAGAGAUUCUUGCCGUUGUAUAGCGAACAUCCAUGUUUGCAUCUGAUAAAGUUACAGUGUAUAGUGUAUUUUGGAAAUCAUCGUCGUUCAUGAAGUCACUGUAUAGUGUAUUUUGGAAAUCAUCGUCGUUCAUGAAGUCACCUGUGCUACUAAACCCCCAAUUCCGAUUUCUAUCACAGAACAGUCUGUUUAUUUUCUUUGAUGUUUGCAUCUUGUCCACCACAGUUAACAUGUUGGCAACUCGAAUCUGUCAGAACAAGUUUAAACUUCAGCAAAAUAAAUGAUGGACCUUAAAUAAGGGUGUUAGCAUAUUUGAAUAUUAAUUUAAGCCUUUAUCUAUUACGCUUUCAAAAUAGUUGGUGGUGGUUUUACAAAACUUUACAUCAUAUUAGAGCAAAAUGUCCUAGAUACAAAUCUUAUCAGGCCUUUAUUCGCCUCCCCUAUUAUUCAUUUCCACGCACUAGUUGUAGACCAAAGUCCCAACUUACGAACGAGAGAGGGGGAGUGUUUAAGCAAUGUUAAAUCAAGCCUUCAUUUAAUAAUUUAAACUUUAGAAUGGUUGACAAUGGUCUCACAAAAUUUUACAAAAAGAAUGCUCCGCAUCUUAGGAACAAAAUAAUGAGGAGAUGCUGUCCAUGGACAGAAAAAGAAAACCUUCUCAUUUUUCAUACAGAAAGGCAUUGUAUCCAAUACAUGUUUUGCAGCUCACAGAAAAAUACAUACAGCGUGAACAGCGGAAGUUGUCCAAGCAUGGCACGGCUCUACUUCUGCAGCAGAGUAGAAACAUAAACCGAUAGUUAAAGAUAAGUGUUCCUGCCUUUUGAAAAUGAAUCAAGGACAUAAUAGUUUGAACAGGGCUAGCAGAAAUAAUAAAUGAUAGACGUCUAAAGCAAGUAAAAGAAUUGUAAAGUGAGGGAAAAAGAAAAACCGAGAAAUCUUACAAGUUGUUCUCUUGUGAAGAGCUUUUGUAGAGGUUCAAGUUUAGGUCCCUGACAGAUGAAGAAAAACUGACUCAUCAGAUUUCUUAAGUACAUAACAAUAUGACUUAUUGGGCAAAAAUCACGAGAAUCCUCACAAGUUGUCCCGACAAGCUUGUUGGUCAGAGCUUUGCCAUGAAAAGUUGUUGUAAGAAAGAUCGCUGCAUCCACGCAACAACAAGCAUUCAAGUGAUUUUAUUUUAAGAUGAAGAUUUGACAGCAAUUGUAUCCCAAAUAAGCGAAAGAGGGCAAACCAAAAAUUCGGAAGUAAGCUUGUGAAAUCAACUUUGACGAGAAGAAAACAUACACACUGGUUCCAUCCUUCAAGAUUGAGUCUGGUACUUGUCCGCUCAGAAUAUUGCCCGUUAGAAAGCUAGCCAAAACAAAAUCUGGCGUUUUAGCACUCAUGAAGAAAAAUUGAUCACCAAAAUACAUGAGAAAAACAAAACUUAUUGAUGCAUCCGAAUAUAUACUGUGACAUAGUUACAGAUUGAAUGCCCCCAUUUGAGGUUGCAACAUUUGCUACUACAAGCAUGUCAGGUUUUGUAAAACAUGGCUUCAUAUCUUCCCUCUACCUCUUAGAGCGCAUAAAAUAAAAACACAGAUAUAUUUGAUGAUCACAUGGCUCAAUUUUUCAGCUUUUAAUUCGAUCCUAUUAAGAAAGAUUUUUAUAAACAAAUCUCCAUUUACACGGUCAUGUCACCACCCAUUUCAUUAUAUCUCAGACGAUCGGUAGGGUACAGACUUACAUAAAUCUCAAUCUUUUUGCAGUGAUUGUCGCUGGAAUUUCACCGACUAAUCUGUUGAAGCUGAGAUCCCUGUUAAAUGGAGGAUAUGAGUGCUUGUAUGUGCAAUAUUACUCCAAAAACUGAAAACAGAGAUCUCAGCUAACAAAGCCAGCUCUAAGUCUUGUGUACAGAACAUAAUCAGAGGGUAGUAAUGUUGAGAAGACAGUAUGUACACAAACUUGACCGGAUGCAGAAAUUAACGCCAAACAUCCUACCAAGAAAACCCCCUGCCCAUAUUGGUAACUUUCCUGUAUAGUUAAAUUUGGUUUCCAACUGAAAAACGAACGUUGGGUUAAUAUGAAUCACGCAUUCCCAGUUUAUACACAAAUUCCAUGUAACAUCAGUUUGGUCCUCCAAUCAUAAAAACAAACGAAAAAAAGAUGCAUGGUUUAUUGUGAUAUGGUGAUGUCAGUCAAGUACUGUUUGUGGCUGUUAAUCAGGAGUGGAACCAAAUCUUUUGAGGUUAUGAAUUAUACAUAUGUAUAAUAUUGCAACUCACACGGAUUGUCAACUGGUAAAGUACGAGUAAGAAGGGGCAGCAGUCGAUGUCUUGGUUGUGGGAAAAAUAUGUCCACUUCAAGGCUCUAAUUCUAGGUGCUUAGAACAGUCCACUAUUGUGGACUGGAACAAAAUAUAUGUGGAGAACCACAGCAGGAGGCAAUUCUGUAUUAGUGCCGAACAAUGGUACAUGGAUAUAUCAAGUUUAAGUUAAUUGAGUUAAUAAACAAAAAGUACAAUUUGACUGUUCUUUUUCUUAAAAAGAAAGAUCAGUACAAGGUCCCAACCAAAUUUCGCACCUAACUUCUGGCAUAUUCGAGGCAACACCGUCAGUAGAAUAUAUCCUUUGAUCAUGGAAUGUUAUCAUUGUGCACUUUCAGCUCUCUUGCACAGCAUGACUUUGACAAAUCCUACUUGCGCAUCUACUGUUUCUCAUACAGCGGCUAAAAGAGAAAGUUCCAAGUUCAUUUAGCACCCAGACAAGAUUAACCACUACCUUUGUGCAACAAUGAAAAAUUGCACUGACUUCUCCAAAGGAUCUUUCAGAUUAUGGAAGAUGGUUAGAAAUAUUCUCAAACUUGAGAAUGAGUGAUGUGGACAUUAGCAUGAUUUGUACUGUACAUGAUGCAAAAAGCAAGCUUAGAAAUUUUACAGACAAUAACUCACACGAGUAAUACUUACACGACUUCUAGUUCUUCUAAGUUCCAAAUGUAAGAUGGAAUCUCCCCAGAUAUGUUACAGCUCCUUAGCACCCUGACAAUAACAGAUUAGUUACUCAAACAUUCGUGACAUGUAACAAAAUGAUUUCCUAGUAGAGAAAUGAGUGAAACAAGAAUCAAACCUACAAUGUUACGAGGCCUGUCAUAUUACUGAGAUUAGGAAAUAGCUGUCUGGGACUGAUUAUGUCACUCAUUUUCCUGAAAAAGACAUAAGAACUUGCUCUAAAUUUCUCAACUUGAUAACUGCACAUCAGAUUUUCAAAUAUGAAUUUCACAGGAUCAUGACAGGAUACUGUACGCUUACAAGUGGACCAUGUUAUUGAAAAGUGAGACAACAGUUGGAAUAGGCCCCUCCAGCCCACUUGCGAUCAUUUCUCUGCACAUCACAAUAUGAAAAAUGAUAGUUACUUGCUUGGAAUGAGUAGUGUUUGCUCUUAUUCAUCAUCUCUAGCUUAAAAAAUUUCAAAAGAUCUUACAAUCUAUUGAGUUGUAAGCAGUUCUUGAUGAACUCUGGUAUUCUGCCACUGAAGUUAUUAUCAUUUAUCCUCCUGCAUUAUGCAAUUGAAAUGUGUCAUCAGACAUUUGAAUUAAGAUAUGUAAUCUGUAUGGGAGGAAUGAGACAACAUCAUACAAAUCUGUAAGAUUUAUCAAACCAGCAAAAGAGGUUGGCAAGUUUCCAGUUAACUGAUUGGAGGACAGAAUCCUGCCAGCAUGACAUGCCAAGAACAGGCCCACAUCAACAUCUAAUAUAUAUAAAACUUGCAAUCAGAACAAGUGGACAAUAAAUAAUUAUACAGCAUCUCACAGAGUUUGUAGGUUGAUCAAACUUCCGAGCUCAGGAGGAAUGUUGCCAGAGAAUUGGUUGACCUCAAGGCAUCUGAUUUAGAAUCCCCAGUAAAAUCACUAAGAGUAUGAUCCAACAUAACUUAAGGAAAUUGCAUAGUAAGUGUCCUAGCUUCACUGCAAAAAGUAAUCAUGGCAACUAAGAGAUUCUAUAGACAUUAUUACAGCUAUAAGCAAACUUGCAAGCAACAGAGACAAAGAUGUUGAAAACGCACAGGUAUGUGAGAGAGGUGAUACUGCCCAAAGUCUUUGGAAUUUCCCCAGAUAAGCGAUUCACGAGAACAGAGCUGCAUUGAUCACUCCAAUUAUUUAUACCAAGGCUAAUGAGAUGCCAGUACAAGAUAGAAUUAUUAGAAUAGAAUCAUUAGAAGAAUCUUACAUUGAAGUCAACUGCAUAGAAGCCCACUCCUGAGGUAUUGUCCCAUAGAGGUAGUUAUAAGCAAAGUCACUACAAGAAUAAGAUAGUAAUUAUCCACAAAGUAGGAUUUCAAAUAAGUAUUCCAUGUCCAUAUAUUAGCUUAUAUCUGCAAGAAAUAUGAUAGUGUUUAAUUAAGGUCUCACAUUUCUCUAAGGUGAGGAAGCUUAGCAAGUUCAGGGGGGAGGAUCCCAGGGAGACUAAAGCCCUUGAGAGUUCUACAAAGCAUCAAAGCCAAAAUUAGACAAACUCAAGUAACAUCACGCGAUGAAUGAUAACAAUUUCUACACAGACAAACAACAGAAAGAGGUCCUUAAGGGCUCUGCCACAAGCAUGCAAUGAAAAACUGUUUUAAAUUUGCAAAGCACAUCUAUACUCACCAAUGCUGCAUAUAAGCUGUUCUUUGAAAGGUUACAAUGAAUUAUAAUGACCGGCUUUAAUGUUUUUUAACCAACUAGGAUGAAAAUUAAAGGGAAGUACAAAAGAGUAUAAUUAAAAAAAUACUCAACAUAUUCUAGGAUAAUUCACUAUGUGUCUACAUAAUCUUCUAAAAUGUCAUGUUUGGAAUUGGAUGUUAUCAUGGUAUGAGAAUUUUGAACUAAAUAGUGGCCGGCAGUCCAAUAAGCAUGGGAAUAUUAGGUAGAUGAUUACAAUCUAAACAUCCUACAUAUUAUAUAUUUUAAAAAGAGAGUCAGCAUCUUCUUGGUUCCUUCUGAAGAAUUUUAUGAAAAAUUGCGGAAAUUGACUCAAUUAAAAUAUACAGAUUACCUAGUCUACACGUAUCAAAAAUUUCCAGCUGCAGAAAAGAGGUCCUUUUUUUCUCAUGCCUGUAUAUAGUGAGGCUCUCAUUUGAGUCACAGUCUCAGCUUUCAAGGUCUCGCAAUAACUAGUUUCUUAUGAAAAAUUGUGGACUCAAACCUUUUCACGUUUUGUCAUGUAAUGCAUUUUAUUCAGCUGCCUAUGUAACACCUCUCAUUUUGUGUUUGCAACCAAGAAUCUGAACAUUGUCAAAGCAGCCCCAGAUAUUCACGCUAUUUACUGUUGUAAGUUACAUCAACCCUGCUUAAGAGACUGGGUGCAAAACUAUGCAUUAAAUCUGAGUAACGAGCUGAGGAGUAUAUACAUGUUUACGACAUGACAGAAGGUAUCAUUUAGGAAGUUGCAUUCACAAGCAACAGUACUCUCAGAUCCUUUUGGUAUUUCUGUUGUUACACCAACUUUUACGACUUCACAAGAAUCACCAUCAAACUCCCAAUACUUGGCCCCCAGUUUAGCAGCGAUUUGUUGAAGGGCUUCCACUGAUUCCCAUUCAGAACCAUGUAAAGAAGAAAAUAAGCGAAAAGAUAAGUGUCAUUGCAGUAACGUGAGUAGCCAAUCAAAUAUUUAAGGAUAUUUGCCUGAUAUCAUUAGCAAAGAUCAGGACAACUUACUGGAAAAGUAUUAAGCAUAACAAACAAUCGUAACCCCAAACCAAUCUUUGCAAAUUUGCUUCCGAGUUCCUAGACUAAGUUUAGUAAUUCUGCUAUCCAAGAUCAAUCCAAGAAACAGCAGAAUCAGCAUAACGGCAAGCAAAAUAAGAAUUGUGGACAGUGUGACGAAAGAGAGAACUGGAUUUUAUCUGUGCUUUUUAUUUCUGUUGUAAGUUACUGUACGGAAGAUCUCGUUGUGCUUCAAACCCAUUAAAGAAAGGUGAAAAGCACAAAAUUCCAUAAACAAAGACAGAUGCAAAGCCAACUUAGCUACUCCAAACCAUCUUAAGAAGGCAAAGCUCAGAAAAACUCAGCACAAAACUUUUAAUUAUAUCCAGAGUUGACAAAAUGAAUAUUUUGCACUUACCUUCUUGGGGAAAAACCUUUGGUUCAGCCAAUCUAAGCAUCCUGAAGUAGCUCAAGGCAAAAAUCAAGAAAAUUAAGAAGUUCUUCGCAACCAUGAUCAAGAGAAAAUGUGGGCCUCGGAUAAGCCAGGACCCAGAUAGCUGUUUUCGCUUUGGACUUGCGUUGUCAGAGUAUUGUCAAAAGAAUCAAAACCAGGAAAUAUUUCUCUCUCUCUCUCUACUUUAUUUGACCUUUAUGGGCCUUGGAGGUGUGCACGUUGUUGGAGCGUAGCCGCCAUCGUACCAAAUGAACCGGAGUCAAACUUUCUUUUUUCCUCAUUGGUCCGUUCGUUUCACGGAAAAUAAUUUCCAAAAAAAUAAUUUCCAAAAUUUUCGAUGUUCGGGUGGGCAGAAAUUAGACGGUCAAAGAAAACCUUUUCCAGUCAAAGGAAAAUCCCCUUGUAAGAUCGUGGAAACUGAUUUCAUCUUUUGAAAAGAGGAAAUCAUUUUCCCGUCCUCUUGCACGCACUCUCGCGCUUGCUCUUGCGCUGCUUUGGGCAAUGAUCGGCUUCAGUUUUUAAUGUCUCCUAGCGGUUUUGGUUUUGGUUCUUCACGAGACAGGAUCAAUGCUUUUGCUGGCUUUUUGCAUUUGUUGGUUGUUGCUUUUUCUUUUUUUUGGGUUGAUCGAGGCAUUUGCAUCAAUUGAUCAAUUUCGUCGUUGCUGCAUUUGGAAUAGUUUUCUGCUAUUGCUGAUGUUGCGAGUUUUCCGCCUCUCUUAUUCUUCCCCUGCACUUUGAAUUGUGCUUUCAAAUCACUCUAGUCCUAAAACUGGCUGAUUGGAUCAAUGGAUUAGAAUAAUUUUCAUUCGUCCUCGAUCCAAGGUGGCGAGUCAUUGUACUGAUUCAAUGAGAUAAUGACUGUUGCUUGAUCUCGAUUGUUCUCCAAUGCUUUCUUCACUGCCUGCGAGCUUUGAAGUUCAAAGCUUUACACAGCUUCUGGUUGAAUUAUUAUACUCUUAUGCCUCGAGCACAUUGAACGUUGACUCUAACUGGACAUAUGUUGGGCAUUAUCAAUUAGAUGUGAAUUUGAAUGAAAUGGGUUUAGUUUGAUCAUUCUCGUAAAUAAUUAGUUUGAUUAUUCUCUUACAUGUUCAUGAUUAUGGAUACUGUCUGAUCUAUUUUCUAGGGUUCAAAGCAUGUUUAAAAAUCAUUGUCAAUGUAUAGUUUGCUUUACAUCUACCAAAUAAUUGGUUGGCUUUAUUGGACGACUUCAUUGAACAUAAAUUCUGACGAAUUUGGCUUAAAAUGAAGACCGGUUGCAAGUUUUGCUAACUCUAUUUUUAUUUCUUAUUGUCCCUCAUUUGUGGGUUUUCUUGAUACUUGGCAGUAAGGGUAUUUCAACUUCUGCACUGCCCUACAAGAGGACUCCUCUGAGCUAGCUCAAGAUUUCUUCUCAGGAUGUAAGAACAUUUUCGACUGCGUUUGUUUGUUUUUGUGGGAUAAUGGGUAGUUUGUAGCUGUCACCUUCCUCUCAGGAUCUGGUGUAAGAUGUGUAAAAUGAAGACUAUUUUACUUGUUUGUAUAUAGAGGCUCACUAUUUCAGUAGCAAGAUGAUGUCUUGGACUUGUCUCUAGGUGCAUGGUUGGUGAUCGUGAUUGUGAUGGUGAUCGAGAACUCUUCAUUGAUGCUCUGUUUCUCCUCCGGUGAGGCUUAGAUGUUUGCUGGCACUCGUGAGAUUGUAUCCAGGAAAAACUUCGAGCUUCUGCGGCCUUAAAAAACCGGUCUUUGCACUGUGCAAGAAUUGAGCGGCUCUAGAUAUUGGUUGACUGAAUGCUGCAGAAGCAAGAGUAAAUUCGCAAGUGUUUAUUUACCAAAAACCUCUAUUUUAAAUAGCAAUAAAUGCGAAACAUGAAUCCAAGUCCAGUUGUUUGGUUUCCUAGAAUAAUUUUGCCAAGUGGAUUCAUUCUGAGUUGAACACCAAUGGCCUGAGACAAACUAUUCCCAAGCAAAAGGGUUAGAAAAUAUUUUUCUUACCGAAUACUAGAAAACAUUUUUCGAAACAUUUUCAGAUUUUAGCCGAACACCAGAAAAUAUUGUCAUUUUCCUGGAAAAUGAUUUCCGGGAAAAUAUUUUCUGAAAUUGGCCAAUUUUCCGCGAAACGAACGGACCAUCAAUUUCAGAAGACAAAAAUAUCAUCACCUAAACUUUUCCUGUCAGAUUAUCAAAUUUUUUGCUUUCUCCUUGUCUUGCCUCGGGACUUUUGUGAAGGUGGAAGGUGUUAGCUAGUAAAAAUUACAAUUACUUGUGCUCGACUUUUGGAGGGUUUUUUUCUCGAUUGUUUUUUUUUUCUAAAAUACUGAACUUCUCAAUUGAGUUUAAGCUUAAAGUAAUUUAACUUUCAAAGAACUCCACAAUAUUAUAGUCAAAUUUCAGGAAUGUAACCGAAAUUAAAUCGUGGGCCUAAAAGCUGAGAUCUCUCUUGGCGUCCACGCCUUUAUAGAUUGAAUCAUUGUUAGGCUGCUUUAGUGGGGCUUGAGCUCGUCAUUAAAGUGAAAAAUUUUCCUAAAAUAAAAAAUACAUAUUUGUAGAAUCAAGCUAUAUUCAACCUCCAGCAAGAAUUUGCCAUCGUCACACCGCUUAACUUAUUAAUGCUGUAAAUCAGCCUCCAUUUUCUUCUUCCAAGAAUAGGACAAUGAUCAUAGCAUUAUAAAGUAGGUAACACUAGUCCAUUUAGGACAUGAUGAAAGUUUCAUUACAAAGAAAGAAAAGAAAAUGCCACCACUCGAUAUAUACACAUGUAAAUGAAUUUGCCACUUGUUUGGGGGAUCGUCAACAAUGGCUGCCAGAUAGAAGCUAAAUUUCAAAGCAUCUCAAUCUCGGGGUUGAUGUCUUGGAUUUUUCAAAGGCUUUUGCUUCGUGACUAAGUUUGGCCAAUGAUGAAUCUAUAAAGAAUUUUAAUUCAGCAGAAGAGAGGGGUCAAAGGGUCGAAAGCUUUUUAAGCGGGCUUUGACCGCAUGGGCCGUGUUCGAUUCUUCAUCGUUCGUUAUUUGCAUGAAAUUGGCCUAUCCGAACGGACAGCGACGUGGGCGUCCCUCUCGGUGACGAGACCCCGUCUCGUGGAAUUAAUAUCUCAGAGCUGACUAGACGUCCGUUCCGACGUGUGUGGCACGGUCGAGGAGAAAUUAUUAUACGACCAUAGUACACGCACGUGGCUGCAAAAUCGCGGGCCGGAAAGAGAGACGACGUGUGUGUAUAGAACACGUUUCAUAUUUGCAGUCAAGUGAUGCGAGACAACAUCGGACUGGGAAUUGCCGUGGAAUCACUGCAAGUGGCGAGGAAAUUGCAAUUAUAAAGUGUUCUUAUCCCAUUCCGAUUGAAAUGACUUAUUUUCACAAGGAUCCGUAAACUAUCUCAUCCCAUAUACAUCGAACGAGAGGCUUUAUGCAUACGGAUGAUGGUGUGGCCCCUAAACUUACUUCUUGAGGAAAAUCGUCUAAAAAGUCUAUAACUUGCUUUUAAUUUUACUAAUUGAGUUCCAAAUAUUUUCACAUAUUAUCAAUUAAGAUCAAUCCAAUUAAUUUUAGUUAGAAAUUAUUGAUAUGGUCUCUGUUUAUCUUAAAUACAUGGAUUAGUCGACGCUAAUUUAGAAAAUUUUGAAUAAUAUUAUAAUGUUAUUUUUUCUUAUUUUCCCUCCAUUCUUCUUUCUCUAGCUGACAACGGGGCUUAAGUAGUGGCCAACAACAGACUAAAGGAAAUGACUAGUGAUCCUCACCGAAGGCUAUUGAGGAUCACCGUGCUAGAGGACGGCAAGGCUCGCCCUUGUUGACCUUACUCGAAGCCAAUGAGGCUCGCUCUCGUAGGACUUUGGCAAGGUCAACCCUUGCUAGAUUCCAACAAAGGUGACCUAACUUUCGUCGAGGAAGAAGAGGGGAGGGGAAAAAAAUAAAAAAUAAAAAGAAGGAAAAAAGAGGAUAAAAAUAAUAACUAUAUAUUUUGAAAAAUAUAUUAAAAUAUUAUUAAAAAUUACUUACUUUAGUAUCAGUCCUGCCAUGUAGAACAACUAGUGUCCAUGUUAGCAAUUUCCAACUAAAAUUAUCGGGAUGAACUCAAUUGGCAAUGUUAAUAGAUUCAAGAAUGAAUUGACAAAAAUGUAAUGGGUUUAUAAUUUUAAGGGAAAUUUUCUUGUUACUUUGGGUGGGUAUAGAAUCUCCGUUUCGAUUAAAGGAUCUGCCGCUUCAAUUGGAGUACCGCCCCUUCUUUAUCCUUCAUGAGAAACACUGCGCCGGGCCUUUCUUGAGCCACUAAGGCCCGCCGGGCUAAUUCAAUUGGAGUACCCCAUCUCUCUUUCGAGCCCGACAGCCCGGCCCGGGCCGAGCUUUAGCGUCUCAAACAAUCAGCCCGGCCCGGCCCGGCCCGGCCCGGCCCGGGCCGAGCUUUAGCGUCUCGGACCUUUUACCUCCCACCAUGCCUAAAAAGAGUUACGAAAUAUUUUGCACAUUGAUUUAUACAACACUAUUUGUAUGUUUCGAAAAAAAUUAGGGUACUAUUCUUAAUAAAAUGUCUAAUUGCAUGAGGUGCUAAAUUUAAAGAGAAUAAAAAGCCAAUCCAAAUAGGUAUGGAGAUAAAAGAAGACUAACGGAAGAUUGUUCCACGAAUAAAUUCUACACAACUGAACGGAACAUGUUUACAUGAUAGUAAUCAUGAUAAGAACGACCACAGUGAGAUAAGGAAAAGGUCAGGCGAGAGAAAAACAUCUUUUGACUACUAUUACUAGUAAAAUGGGUAAAGAAUAAUAUUGUACAGAUGAUGCAUCCUUCUAUGCAUCACCAACGACCCGUGCAUAACAUUUGUACAAGCACCGCGAGCUUCGUUGAUGCAGCUGCAAAAUUGCUAAAUUUAAGAAAACAUACACUUAUGCUAAAUACAUUCUUGACUCUGGAUUAAUUUCCACACAUUCAUCGUGGGUAAAGCCGAGACGACCAGAGUGUCUACUGCAGUCAUGCUCCCUGAUGNNNNNNNNNNNNNNNNNNNNNNNNNNNNNNNNNNNNNNNNNNNNNNNNNNNNNNNNNNNNNNNNNNNNNNNNNNNNNNNNNNNNNNNNNNNNNNNNNNNNUGGUGGGAUUGAAUCUGGAAUAGUUGCCCUUCCUUCGAGCAUGUUCACCACUCAGACAUUGUUGGUCUAGCGAUGGCGAUGCAUUGGUGCAAAGUAGAACUACUUUGAUAACCAUUUCUGCCUCUUCUCGA